rnacentral:rRNA from 1 species
CAGCCGCCGCGGUAAUACGAAGGGUGCGAGCGUUAAUCGGAAUUACUGGGCGUAAAGCGAGCGCAGACGGUUACUUAAGCAGGAUGUGAAAUCCCCGGGCUCAACCUGGGAACUGCGUUCUGAACUGGGUGACUAGAGUGUGUCAGAGGGAGGUAGAAUUCCACGUGUAGCAGUGAAAUGCGUAGAGAUGUGGAGGAAUACCGAUGGCGAAGGCAGCCUCCUGGGAUAACACUGACGUUCAUGCUCGAAAGCGUGGGUAGCAAACAGGAUUAGAUACCCCUGUAGUCCCUGUCUCUUAUAC